rnacentral:lncRNA from 1 species
UCUCGCUCGAUUCUUCUGAGGACAAAAGAAGUUAAUAUUUUAAAAGCCCUCAAAACAGCCUCACAUGUGGUUUCACCCCCGUCACAUGGAUAUACUUGCCCACCUCUGUUCUCACCUGCUGCCCCUGGAUGAAGCCUGACUGCUGUUCACAAUCUAGGAUGUGUUAGUGGUAAGUCCACAUUCUG